ACACAUGCAAGUCGAGGGGCAGCAUGGUCUUAGCUUGCUAAGGCUGAUGGCGACCGGCGCACGGGUGAGUAACACGUAUCCAACCUGCCGUCUACUCUUGGCCAGCCUUCUGAAAGGAAGAUUAAUCCAGGAUGGCAUCAUGAGUUCACAUGUCCGCAUGAUUAAAGGUAUUUUCCGGUAGACGAUGGGGAUGCGUUCCAUUGGAUAGUAGGCGGGGUAACGGCCCACCUAGUCAACGAUGGAUAGGGGUUCUGAGAGGAAGGUCCCCCACAUUGGAACUGAGACACGGUCCAAACUCCUACGGGAGGCAGCAGUGAGGAAUAUUGGUCAAUGGGCGAUGGCCUGAACCAGCCAAGUAGCGUGAAGGAUGACUGCCCUAUGGGUUGUAAACUUCUUUUAUAAAGGAAUAAAGUCGGGUAUGCAUACCCGUUUGCAUGUACUUUAUGAAUAAGGAUCGGCUAACUCCGUGCCAGCAGCCGCGGUAAUACGGAGGAUCCGAGCGUUAUCCGGAUUUAUUGGGUUUAAAGGGAGCGUAGAUGGAUGUUUAAGUCAGUUGUGAAAGUUUGCGGCUCAACCGUAAAACUGCAGUUGAUACUGGAUGUCUUGAGUGCAGUUGAGGCAGGCGGAAUUCGUGGUGUAGCGGUGAAAUGCUUAGAUAUCACGAAGAACUCCGAUUGCGAAGGCAGC
rnacentral:rRNA from 1 species